rnacentral:lncRNA from 1 species
AUGGCUCCGGCCGUGCUGCUGCUGCUGCUGCUCCUCCGGGCGGGGGCGGCCUGGGGGGAGCCCCCGGAGCUUCCUCACCCUCAUCAUCCUCAUCGCCCUCACCCUGACCGUCCUCAUCCUCAGAGGGAGGAAGGCUCCCCUGGUGGCCCCCAUCUUCCUCACCUUCAUCAUCCUCACCCUCAUCAUCAUCGCGAGGAAGGCUCCCCCGGCGACCUUCACCAUCCUCAGCACCAUCCUCAUCCUCAGCAGAGCGAGGAAGGCUCCCCUGGUGGCCCCCAUCCUCAUCAUCCUCAUCAUCCUCACCCUGACCAUCCUCAUCCUCAGCAGAGCGAGGAAGGCUCCCCCAGCGACCUUCAUCAUCCUCAGCACCAUCAUCAUCAUCAUCACCAGAGGGAUGAAGGCUCCCCUGGUCACCUCCAUCAUCUUCAUCACCAGAGGGAUGAAGGCUCCCCCAGUGACCUUCAUCAUCAUCAUCAUCAUCAUCACCAGAGCGACGAAGGCUCCCCGGGUCACCACCACCAUCAUCAUCGUCACCACGGCGACGGGGAGGAUGACGAUGAUGAAGGUCAAGCCCGGGUGGAUGAAGGCCGCCGUCGCCAUGACGAUGAUGAUGAAGGUCAACCAAGGGUGGAUGAAGGCCACCGUCACCAUGACGAUGAUGAAGGUCAACCAAGGGUGGAUGAAGGCCGCCGUCGCCAUGACGAUGAUGAAGGUCAACCAAGGGUGGAUGAAGGCCACCAUCACCAUGACAACGAUGAUGAAGGUCAACCAAGAGUGGAUGAAGGCCACCGUCACCAUGACGAUGAUGAAGGUCAAGCCCAGGUGGAUGAAGGCCACCGUCACCAUGACGAUGAUGAUGAAGGUCAACCAAGGGUGGAUGAAGGCCACCGUCACCAUGACGAUGAUGAAGGUCAACCAAGAGUGGAUGAAGGCCACCAUCACCAUGACGAUGAUGAAGGUCAACCAAGAGUGGAUGAAGGCCACCAUCACCAUGACGAUGAUGAAGGUCAACCGCAGGUGGAUGAAGGCCACCGUCACCACGACAACGAUGAUGAAGGUCAAGCCCGGGUGGAUGAAGGCCACCGUCACCAUGACGAUGAUGAAGGUCAACCGCAGGUGGAUGAAGGCCGCCAUCACCACGACGACGAUGACGAUGAUGAUGACGAUGACGAUGAUGAUGAAGGCCACCCCCUCCCCCACCAAAGCCGC